UACAUAAGAAUCUACGCAAUAGAGGAGUUUAUGAUUUGAAAGUUUUCUUAGUAAAUUUAAAUGCUUCAUAUAAAAGGAAUUAAUAAUAUCGCUGUUGCAUGAGCUUAUGCGGGAUUAGGUAGUUGGUGGGGUAAAGGCCUACCAAGCCAAGGAUCUCUAGUUGUUCUGAGAGGAAGCACAACCACAUUGGGACUGAAACAAUGCCCAAACUUUUAAGGCAGCAGUGGGGAAUAUUGGACAAUGAGCGAAAGCUUGAUCCAGCAAUAUCGUGUGAAUGAAGACAGUCAGUUUUGGUUGUAA
rnacentral:rRNA from 1 species